CCAUUAAGAGAUGAGGAAAUAGUGUCAUACAUGCUCGGCGGCCUUAGUGAGGAUUAUGACCCUCUAGUGACAUCCAUCACUACAAGAACAAAGCCGAUCUCACUCACCGAUUUGUAUGUACAUAUGCUGAGUUAUGAAA